ACACAUAAUAAUAUAUAUUCACAUACAAAUAAAUGGAUGCUCAAAACUAUUUUUUAGAAAAAGAAAAGGUAACGAGAGGGGAGAAUAUGGUCAAAGCACAUUGUGUGCGUUGCAUGAAUGUCAUAAUGAAGCCCUAACUUUGUGCAAUUGAUAUAUACUAGCAAAAAAAAGUGAAUUUUAAAAAGGAAAAAGAAAGGAGGGGAGGCCCAGAAAACACUAGAGGCAGUGAAAGAGAGACGAAGCCACGGCCAGCUUUCUCCUCAGGCUUCAAGGGAAUGGAAGACACACAUUACCAGACACUCUACCCAAGACACACCAGCACAGUCAGCCACACCCACAAAUGCAGAUACACGUGACCUUGGACACCACAGUCACACACUGGGAGAUGAGUCUUCUGGUAACAUUAAGGUGAGGAUCAGCUGAGGGUGAGCUCAGUUGCAGUACAUCCAACCAACCCUGCAGCUGCUGCAGCACAGGCCAUCCAGAACGACCCUCCUGACAGCAGGCACACAGCAUUCCUAAACACCUUUGCUGCCUGAGUCUUUCCAAGGCCCAGAAUGGAGGAUGUUCCAAAGUGCAGUUCCUCCCAUCUCAAGUUUAGAAGGAAGAGUGGCAGGGUGUGAUCAGAGAGAGCUCCAGUCUACAGGCAAGGCGUCUAAGGCUAAGGAUGAGUAAGCACCUCCUUCCAGGGUAGACUCGAGUUGGCCAUAGGACCUGCUUCCUGCAGUCCAAGCUAAUGACUGACACAGUAAUAAUGCUCAUUGCUCUGCUCUCAGCUCGGUCUUCCCAGCCUGCUUCCAGCUGAAUCCACUGCAAGGGAGUUACCUAAAAGGGGGCUACCCAAUCAGGGCAGGCAGGAGAAUCCUGGCUGACCUGGGAAGUUCCCCUCCUCACUUUAGACACAGACAAGCCUAAAGCUCAUAAUAAAUCCAUAAAAGCGGCAGAGGACACAUUGGCCUUCCCCCUCCUGACUUCUGACCAUCACAGAGGAGCCUUCUGCCAGGCAUGGUGGCUCACACUAUGGAGCACUCAGGAGGCUGAGGCAGAAAGAUUGUUCAAAGUCAGUCUGGGAUACAGGGGAUACCUGUUAAGAGGAACAGGGGAGAGAGAAAAAGGAAAAGGCAGGGAGGCUAGCCUUAUCUAAAAGCAAAUGCUUCUAACAACAACAAAAAAAAAAUAUCGAAAGAGAGAAGGCAAAGGGAAGAGAAAACCUUUGACUGGGACCCAAAGCUUGGGUUCUGGUCAAGCUCAGCAUCUGCCUCCAGGUGGGUACUCUCCAUCUUUGGACCAGGAAUCCUCAGCUGAUGGGAUACUGGGUGAGAUAAUUCCCAGACAAGGCAACCUAAGACCAUCCACUUAUGGGAUGUCCAGCUGAAGUAGACCUUAGAGGUUAACCAGUUAGGUUACCAUAGCCUGAACCAUCACUCCAAAGCUGCCCCCACUCCACUAUGGCAGCCUGACUCAGAAGUUCUAAGUACAUCUACUGGAGGUUCGGCCUCAAGAUAUCCUGAUUAAGAAUUGGCAGAUUUUCUCCAUACAGAGCCCCAAACUCACACAUGUGGAUUUUCUCCAAGAAAGUUUGGUCUGGUCCUCCAUUGAGCCUACCCUGCCCCUGAGGCUGCUUCAACAAAUACGUAUCAAGUUCCUACAAGGUGACAGGCAUUGGUCCUGUGGCUAUGAUGCAGGGAGAAUCCCUUCUUUUCCAGAUCUGCAACUUCAAUGGGUUGAUCAAAACUGGCUCCAAGAAUCAACUUUGAUUUCCUAACAGUGGUCCUGGUACUCAGAAGACCCCACUGAAUGGAUGUAUGAAAGGAUAAAGUCCCCUCUUCUCAAGGGUUCCUCAAGAUCAAGAAUGACACAGAAAGCCAUAUCAUGCCCAGUCUUAUACUCAUUUCUGAGGGAAAGGCUCAAACCUUCACAUGAGAAUCCUCAGAGAGUCUGUGGGACCACCACUUCAAGAGACAAAAAUCAUACCUCAUACCCUUGACUGGGCCAGGCAAUCUUUGGCCACUAACUCUGAGCCUGUAACUAAUUUCAUGAACAGACAUGGGCUUCAAAAAGAGCAGUUCAGCUGGGCCUGAUGUGGAAGAACCCGGGGUUUUCUUGAGAGCCUGUCCACAACCCUAUUCCUAUUCCCAAACCUCCCCUGGGAGUAAGAAGGAAGGGGAGCCAGAAAGAUGGGUCAUAUUGGCUUAGGUCAGUUGUGUUUCUGUUACUUCCUGGAUUGGUCCAUAAAGAUCAGGCUGCCCCCAUUCACAUGCCACCUGCCUCACCCCUACUUCCUCGUAGCUUUCUCUCUUGGACUCCAGGGUAGAAGCUCUGCCUAGUCCUCUAGGCACCUCUUACUUGGUACUUCACACAUGACCUUGGCUACCACUCCUGCCCUUGCUCCUUUGGUGGGCUCUUGAUCAAGGUAACCCGCCAUCCUUCUGAGUUACCCCAGAGGAAGGGUCUAUCUUAUGGCUCUUCCUUCUCCCUUCCUGCCCCUGGAAGAUCCCAUGACUAACUCCACUCUCAUCCAUCUCUUCCUCCAUCCCUGACUCCCAGGCUCAGACCUUACCACCUAUCACCUGCUUCCUGACAGCUUCCUCAAGGUCUCUUUGUCCCCAGUCUCCCUUCUUCCACAUUGUCCACAUGGGUCAUCCAAAGCCACGUUUCCAAACUUCCUAUCUCCCUAUACCUCCUUCAGGAAAUCACCCUGAGACUCCCCCACUCCUCCCAAGAUCAUCUGUAUACUUUAACAGAUCCCCAACACCUGGUCCUAAUAGGAUUUGUUUCUCUAUGGCUCUUCUACCCUCAUGGCACUUCAGCUACUAAAACUCCUUAGACCCUGCUCUCAGCCUUCACUCUCCUGUCCUACUACCCAGCAUACCCUUCCUGUCAACUCCACCUACCAAAGCCCACUCUUAUAUCACCUCCCCUAUGAAGUGCUCCAGACUGUCCACAGGCUCAGAAUGACCUGUCCCCUCCUCAGCCCACCUCUGCCGUGACUUAUUUUACUUACUUCACAUACUUCUCACAUUCUCCUUUGUUGCCCCCACUCCAGGCUAUGAGCAAGAGGGGGUGUUCUUUAUCUCGGUGUUAAGUUGUCUGUCUCCUGGUAGAUAGGGAACCUCAAUGACUCUGACUUUAACCAACAGGCCAGCAGAAGAAACCACGUUCUGCAGUGGCCCAAGAGGAAGGCUGGAGUUGGGGCAGAGGAGGCAGGGCAAAUGAGCCAUCCUAGACUGUGGACCACCCUGGGUCCAGGCAAAGCAUAGCUGAACUAUGUGUAGCUUGCCCCAACCGAGAAGUAUCCAAUCAACCAAAAAGAUCAGCCAUGGAGAUCUAGAAGUCUGUUCUCUGUCCCAGCAUCCUCAGCUUAGAAGUGAGACAGAACCACUCCAGCCUGCCCAGCUCCCAGGAGCCCCAUACUAUCAUCAAAGUCAACACACACUGUGCACUGAUCUCCCUGACUGUGCUAACCACUUUAUCAACAUAAUGGCAAUUAACUGUGUCUUA